rnacentral:rRNA from 15 species
GAUCAAUGUUCUGUUUCUCUUUUGAAAUUCCAAUGGAGGAAAUCUGCAGAAACCGGUAGUAAUCGUAUAUAACAACGAUACGGUGACUUUCCGCUCCUUGUUGUACUAACUGCCCGCCAGGCACGGGUAGUUGCUUGUUCCCUGGGAUGCGCAUUACAUGGAUAUUGGUAAUUUUGGUUUUUCCAUUUUUUUCAGUUAUAAAUGCGGGUUCCACUGGGUGGGUGGUGAUCUGUGUUAAGGCGUAACAUGGUAGUCGUAGGAGGACCUGCGGCUGG